rnacentral:rRNA from 1 species
AGCGAACGCUGGCGGCAGGCUUAACACAUGCAAGUCGAGCGGGCACUUCGGUGUCAGCGGCAGACGGGUGAGUAACACGUGGGAACGUGCCCUUCGGUUCGGAAUAACUCAGGGAAACUUGAGCUGAUACCGGAUACGCCCUUUUGGGGAAAGGUUUACUGCCGAAGGAUCGGCCCGCGUCUGAUUAGCUAGUUGGUGGGGUAAUGGCCUACCAAGGCGACGAUCAGUAGCUGGUCNGAGAGGAUGAUCAGCCACACUGGGACUGAGACACGGCCCAGACUCCUACGGGAGGCAGCAGUGGGGAAUAUUGGACAAUGGGCGCAAGCCUGAUCCAGCCAUGCCGCGUGAGUGAUGAA